rnacentral:rRNA from 1 species
CCUACGGGAGGCAGCAGUGAGGAAUAUUGGUCAAUGGACGCAAGGCUGAACCAGCCAUGCCGCGUGCAGGAAGACGGCUCUAUGAGUUGUAAACCGCUUUUGUACGAGGGUAAACGCAGAUACGCGUAUCUGUCUGAAAGUAUCGUACGAAUAAGGAUCGGCUAACUCCGUGCCAGCAGCCGCGGUAAUACGGAGGAUUCAAGCGUUAUCCGGAUUUAUUGGGUUUAAAGGGUGCGUAGGCGGUCGGAUAAGUUAGAGGUGAAAUCCCGAGGCUCAACUUCGGAAUUGCCUCUGAUACUGUUCGGCUAGAGAGUAGUAGCGGUAGGCGGAAUGUAUGGUGUAGCGGUGAAAUGCUUAGAGAUCAUACAGAACACCGAUUGCGAAGGCAGCUUACCAAGCUACUUCUGACGUUGAGGCACGAAAGCGUGGGGAGCAAACAGGAUUAGAUACCCUUGUAGUC